rnacentral:rRNA from 1 species
GACGAACGCUGGCGGCGUGCUUAACACAUGCAAGUCGAACGAAGUGGCGAACGGGUGAGUAACGCGUAAUCAACCGGCCCUUCAGAGGGGGACAACAGUUGGAAACGACUACUAAUACCGCAUACUGAAGGAGGGGAUUGCGUCGGAUUAGCUAGUUGGAGGGGUAACGGCCCCACAAGGCGAUGAUCAGUAGCCCGGCUGAGAGGAUGGACGGCCACAUUGGGACUGAGACACGGCCCAGACUCCUACGGGAGGCAGCAGUGGGGAAUCUUCCGAAAUGGACGGAAGUCCGACGGCGCCACGCCGCGUUAUUGAUGACGGCCUUCGGGUUGGAAAGCUCUGUUAAUCGGGACGCGUUACCGGAAUAGAAAGCCACGGCUAACUACGUGCCAGCAGCCGCGGUAAUAC